rnacentral:rRNA from 1 species
UACGGGGGGGGGCAAGCGUUGUUCGGAAUUACUGGGCGUAAAGGGCUCGUAGGUGGCCAACUAAGUCGGACGUGAAAUCCCUCGGCUUAACCGGGGAACUGCGUCCGAUACUGGUUGGCUUGAGUUUGGGAGAGGGAUGCGGAAUUCCAGGUGUAGCGGUGAAAUGCGUAGAUAUCUGGAGGAACACCGGUGGCGAAGGCGGCAUCCUGGACCGACACUGACGCUGAGGAGCGAAAGCCAGGGGAGCAAACGGG